rnacentral:misc_RNA from 1 species
UAGCAAAGCUAUAUUAUAUGCAGGAUUAGUAUACUGCAGCUGAAGGAGACGAGGAUGAAGGGUCAGCUAUUUGUUUGCUGUUUGCUGGUGGUAGCGUUGUUCUCUCGGCCUGGAGAAGCACUCUGCCUCUGUCCAACCUGCCCCAACGGAUGGCGGCUCAUGGACGGGUACUGCUACCGAGUUUUCCCUCAAGACAAACAAUGGUCCAAAGCAGAUGAAUUCUGCAAUAAGUUUAACAGAAGCAGGUCAUCCUCUUUGGUGUCGAUUCAUAGCGAAAAGGAAAACAAGUUUGUCGGCAACCUUGCAGGAAAGAGACGGUCUUGGAUUGGGCUCCAUGACAGGUACAGCGAGGCGAAAUUUAUGUACACGGAUGGGUCGCCGUUUAACUACGAUGCAUUCCUUCCGGGUGAACCUAACAAUGCAAACGGGGAAGACUGUGUGGAGAUCAAGUGGAGAAAAUGGAACGACCUGAAGUGCAACUUGCCUCGGCCAUUCAUCUGCAAAAUGUGGCCUUCUUACGAAGAAAAGUGAGACUCAAACACAGUGUACCUUAGCCCCGAAAGCGGGAAAUCUCGGUAUUAUUCAAAUUUACACCAUACGUUACAUACUUUCAAGGGUUAUUUGAUUGUUCUCCCAGUGGCCACGCGUGGAAUGCUCCUUUCUUUACGGUCCCUCUUAUCGGAUUCACUAGCUGGGAAUUAUUCAUCCUCUGAAUUUUCGUGAGGGGAAUCGUUGUUCUGAUUGUUCGUAACCAGUGUUGCAUAGGCUUGCAGGCCAAUAUACAGAAUUGAAGUUGCUAAAGUCCAAGGCAAAGUCACGUUUUCCCAUUUGAAGUGCCUGGACCGGUUUUUGUGCGAGUCACGUCCAUUAUUGUGCAUAUUGAACUUGCCAGUCGCGGAGGGAUUGAGGUCAGGCUCCCGAAAACAACCACAUCGGUUAAACUGACGAGCUCACUGGGCCGAAUAACUGACCGCAGUGAAUGAGCCGUAUUCAAGAAAAAAAACACCACCAUUUUAAGCGUCCCAGACUGAUGACAAGUGCUCUAGACGAGGUUUGACGAGGCUAGUGUUUUAUAAGAUCUUCGCAUAUGCGUCUGCCGUAAACGGCUACGGCCAAAGAGUAUGUGUCAACACUCUGCUGUAAAGUAGUCCGCACAAUAAGCAAUGCACUACAUGUGCUGUGGGUUAUUGCUUUAUUUGUAAAGAAUCUUUACUAAUUUUGUAUAGGAUAUUGGACUACAGUAUACACCUUCACGAAACCAUGCACGUACCGGUAGCCUGUAUUAUUUCAGUUAAGAGUUGAAAAGGUCAAUAACUGAGCUUUCAUGUGAAGCCGCUCUUUCGAGUGGACGAACGGCCAUUAUGAUGGAUCCUUUGUGAGAGUAGUACAGUUCUUGCCAUUUCCUAAAAUGGGUUUGAUUUCUCUAAUAGGCUGCAAUGACAAUUUUGACCCCCCCAGCAGUGGUGUGUGGGGGCGGGGUUCCUCCCCUGAAUGACGUGUUGCCUUUUUAAUUCAAAGGGCCGCAUUUUAAAAAUGGUACUGCCGGCUUUCAAGGGGUGAAGGUUUUUUCACGUUGACAAAAUUGGACAAUCAUUUGCAGAAAAAAGCACCAUUUUGGCCCUCCCAUGGUCCCAAGACCUGGAUAUGCACGCGUGCGAUUUGCGUAUUGAAAUUGCGUGUUGAAAUAUCUGGGAAGCCAAGUCACCCAACACCAAAAAAGUACCGUAAAGGAAAUCGAGACGGUAGGUGUAGGACGGAAGCAUAUUGCUGCCACAUGUAAAUGUAAAAAAAGUAGAAAAUAAAAGAAAAAAAGGAAAAUCGCCCACAAUGUUCUUUAUGACAAAAUUAACCUCUGCAACACAGUAAUAUCAACAACUGACUUUGUUUUCCCACACCAACUUCAUACCGUUUUAUUUGUCCACCGACGAUUUGUUUAAAAUUGCAAGCUAUUGGUCAUUCAAAUCCAACACAUAACUUACGAUUACGCUACUUUGGUCCCAUUUACUAUAUUAUUCAUCAAGUCUUAAAUUUAUAUACGAUUUUAACACAGGCCUAUCCUAAAGGUAUGAUUUAGGGUAUAAAAUAUUUUGUAACCAUUGCUCAAUCAAAUGUACCCAAUAACUGAUACGGUGAAAAUACAAAAAAAACGAACAAAACAGACCUGAAUUUAAUGACUUACCAUUGAUACGUGUAAUAAUGAUAAUGUUACUGAGUAUAAGCAAAAGGGUAGUUGAGAUUUUCAUAAACUGAGUAAUUUAUUAAUCUCAACUGAUUUUAAAGACCACUAUGUCAUGAAUUUUGGCAUAAACUAAUUCUACCUUCACCUACACAUAUUUGAUAAUCAUAUCAACCUCGUGAAUUUUUUGCAUUUUUUUAUCCUAUUAAAAAAAAAGACUCUGAUCCGACAUCAUAUAAUGAAAUUAUUUCUUUUGCAAUGUGGCACCCUAUUCUGUCGUUAAUUUUGAAUUGAUUGUUUUGCUGUUUAAACUAUGCCAGUAUUUUUGCAUUUUGAAUCUUACAACAGCGUUACAGUUACAUGUGUAUACGUUUUUUGGCGUUUUCUGUUUGAAAGUCUGUUUUCUGUUUGAUUGUCUGUGAGCUACACCCUGUUUAGAUAAAAGUGUUAUAGUUUGCCAAGAACCGAAUUUCCAAAAUAUUGUGAAUGUAUUUUACUGCUAUAAUUUGUACUUCUUCAACAUUCACCCUACGUUACAAUACCACAGGUGAAGUUCGAUGCUGGUAGGAGGAAAAUCAAAUGACUGUAAGGCUUCGAUUAUAAAGGAGAUACAAAACGAUUUCUGUAAUCGAAGAUAA